UGAAAUAACUGAAAAAGGACUAAAUUGGAUUUAAAAUAUAAAUUUUAGGGCGAAUCUGAAAAUAAACUAAAAGAAAAGGACCAAAUUGAGUGCGCAAAUAACAAAGAGCGACCAAAACGGGAAAUAAUCCCCCCUCCAAAACGUGCAGCUCCAAGGUGGGCUCAAUUGAAAGCAGAAAUAAAUCACAGGGCCAAAAUUAACAAAUAAAAAAACUUUAUUGCAAAUGGAUAAAAAGCGGAAGGACUAAAGUAAAAAAUAUCCCAUUAAUACAAAACACGCUGAUCCUUUCCGGGUCGGGUCACACGCGCGGGUCGUGUGCCUAAACGGCGCCGUUUUGAUGCCUGGGCUUAUGGAACAAAACGGUGCCGUUUUAACAGUCCAUAAAAGCUGAAUUUUUUUUUUAAAAUUUCAUUCUUCUCCCCAGUUCCAAAAAAAAGAAAAGGCUCCCCAUUUUUCUCUGAAGGGUUCCAGUAUCUAGCCAUUGGACCGAUGAGCCAUCGCCGCACGCACCACCUUACACGCCAUCGUGCACGGCGAUCGGCGUUCAAAAGGUAAUAUUUUUCCCAUGUUUUUGAUGUAUUUGUAUAUGUGUAUAAAUUUAGGAAAAAAUAAAAAGGGAAAAAUAAAUAAAAUAAAAACUAAAAAUGCAACCCACGGUUGUUUUUUCUUUUCCACUCUGCUCUGCUAUUAGAUUCUCAAUUUGUGACUGGGAUUACUGUUUUUUUCGAAUUAUUUCAUAUCUAAAAAAAGUCCCCCUUACAAUGGUUUUUCGAAGGCCUUUAUAGCCUUUUUUUUACAACCAAUUCUUGCCUAUUUGCAGGUACGUGGUGGACCGGGCACUGACGUGGCGCGGUGGAGCAGAGCACAUUGUGGGGUAGCGGUGUCCGGCGCGCGAGGGGCAUGGGGUGCGGGCGUGAGCACGAGCGGCGGCACCUAGGGUUUUCCCUUCUUUUUUGCUGAAAAAGAUUUAAGUUUUUGGGCUUGUAAUUUUGGGCUAGGGUUUAGGUUUUUUGGCAUGUUGUAAAUGGACUCUGUAUUUAGACUAUUGUUUAUUGGGCCCCGGGCUAAAAUUGGGCCCUACAAUAACGAUCAUUAUUAAGGUUGAUACGAGUUACUAUUAAUUUCUAGUAACACUUACCCUUAGAAAUAAUCACUUGGAUUAGUGAUUCGAUUCCCACGUUAAUGGUCUAUCAAGUUGGUGUCGAUCGGCCCUUCAAUAAACAUGACAUACGAGAUGUUAAUACUUGAGAAAUAAUUCACUAUGACCUUAAAAAUAUUCAGUCAAGAGAAAAGUAAGGAGAUUUCUACUCAACCCUUACACUUACACUAACUUGGUUGAAACGGGAGGAUUGACGAAUCAUCUUGAACACGAAUUGAAAAGGAACGAAGGAUCUAAAGAGGAGGACUAUUUUUGAAAAUAGGCCAAUGAAAAAGUUUACGAUUAAGAACUAAUUAAAAAUAAAUAAUGCAAAAAAAAAAUUAUGACUAAAAAAAAUAAGAUAGGUUGAAAAUUGAAGAAGAAAAGAGGAAGAAUCUCAACCGUUGGCGGUGGUGCUAUGGCGGCGACGGUUUAGCAACAGAGGCAGCAGUUCAACAGAGGAGAAGAAAAGAAUAUGGGUUCGGUCACUCACUUAAAAGAAGAGAAAGGAAAAGAGAGAAAAAUAUGAAAAAGAUAAGAGUUUCAAUGGUUGUCGUGGUGGUGGAGGGUGGCACUAAGGGCGGCAGUGAAACAAAAAGAAGAUGAGAAGAGGAUGAUGGAUGAUGAAAUGGUGGUGUUUAGGUCGAAUGGUGGUGGUUAACGAUGGAGGAAAGGAGGCCAAAAUCAAAAUAAUGGUAGUUCAAGUUGGUGCAAGAGGUAAGAGUGAGAUAGAGAUAAAAAAGAGGAGCAAUGAGGGGAAUGGCA
rnacentral:lncRNA from 1 species